rnacentral:rRNA from 1 species
CCUACGGGAGGCAGCAGUGAGGAAUAUUGGUCAAUGGACGGAAGUCUGAACCAGCCAUGCCGCGUGCAGGAAGACGGCUCUAUGAGUUGUAAACUGCUUUUGUACAAGGGUAAACCUGAAUACGUGUAUUCAGCUGAAAGUACCGUACGAAUAAGGAUCGGCUAACUCCGUGCCAGCAGCCGCGGUAAUACGGAGGAUCCAAGCGUUAUCCGGAUUUAUUGGGUUUAAAGGGUGCGUAGGCGGAUUGAUAAGUUAGCGGUGAAAUGUCCGAGCUUAACUCGGGAACUGCCUCUAAUACUGUUGGUCUAGAGAGUAGAUGCGGUAGGCGGAAUGUAUGGUGUAGCGGUGAAAUGCUUAGAGAUCAUACAGAACACCGAUUGCGAAGGCAGCUUACCAAUCUAUAUCUGACGUUGAGGCACGAAGGCGUGGGGAGCAAACAGGAUUAGAUACCCUGGUAGUC